rnacentral:pre_miRNA from 1 species
ACUGGAUUCAUUUCUCUGAAAGUGGAUUUUGUGGUCUGUCCGGGGAAUGGAUCCAGCGU